AACAAAAGUUCAGUAAGGAAAAUGUAAUUGUAAAACGUAAUUGUUUUAUUGUAUAUCUAAAGAUAUCAUCAAAAUGCUAAAAUGGUCCUAUCAAAGUUACAAUACAAGAAACAUUCGAUAAUUACACAAAAAUCUGGUGCCAAAUAUUGCAAUAACGAACAUGUAGAAACGAUUGUAUUUUUCGAAAAUGAGACGUGUGAACGUCGAAAAAGUCAGAAACAGAAGGUAGAAAAUAACAAUGCGAGUAACGAAACGAUCGACAAAUAUUAAAUACCCGCGUUAAG
rnacentral:misc_RNA from 1 species